UGCAUUAGUUACCGUGAAAUG
rnacentral:piRNA from 1 species